UACGUAGGGGGCAAGCGUUGUCCGGAAUCAUUGGGCGUAAAGCGCGUGUAGGCGGCUUGGUAAGUCUGCUCUGAAAGCCCGGGGCUCAACCCUGGGAGGCGGGUGGAUACUGCCGAGCUCGAGUCCGGAAGAGGCGAGUGGAAUUCCUGGUGUAGCGGUGAAAUGCGCAGAUAUCAGGAGGAACACCGGUGGCGAAGGCGGGUCUCUGGGCCGUAACUGACGCUGAGGAGCGAAAGCGUGGGGAGCGAACAGG
rnacentral:rRNA from 1 species